GAUGAAGAACGCAGCGAAAUGCGAUAAGUAAUGUGAAUUGCAGAAUUCGGUGAAUCAUCGAAUCUUUGAACGCACAUUGCGCCCCUUGGUAUUCCGAGGGGCAUGCCUGUUCGAGCGUCAUUAUAACCCCUCAAGCUCAGCUUGGUGUUGGGGCCUGCCGCACGGGCAGCCCUUAAAAUCAGUGGCGGUGCCAUCUGGCUCUAAGCGUAGUAAUUCUUCUCGCUAUAGAGUCCCGGUGGAUGCUUGCCAUUAACCCCCAAUUUUCUAUGGUUGACCUCGGAUCAGGUAGGGAUACCCGCUGAACUUAAGCAUAUCAAUAAGCGGAGGA
rnacentral:misc_RNA from 1 species